CACCACAUCAGAUUAGCUUUCCAAGCAUUAGGACUUGUUGGAGCAGUGAUAGUCCCGUCAAGCUGGAGCAUUUUUUAAGAAGCCAGUAAGGACCAGAGAAUGAAAUGGGUCCCACAAGGAACUGAUAUCCUGAUGGAAUCAACAUCGUUGAUGAUUGAACUUUACAAGCCGCUGCCCACGCAGCUUCGAACGCCUGCAGUGCACAAUAACAGAACAUACACAAGAUAUAUUUUCCCACUUUUCUAGUGGUUUUAAAUGCCAAUGAGUGCACGUGACUGGAUAUCAUCAUAUGGCUAUAAGUUUUCAAGGGCUCUGAUUGUAACAGCUCUCUAUUGGUCACAUGCAACAUUCACGGGCAAGAGUUUAUGUACUUUGUCUUCUCAACCAACAGCAAAUACGGGGCCAGAGUAUCUGUAAGAGUUUUUAAUACUCUUUAAGCUUUGGUAUUUUCUUAUAAUUUGCAUGAUUUAGCAACAAUUUUCUCAAGAUUAAUUCCUAUGGAACCUCCUCAAGAACGUUUAAAAUGUUAGACGGAGAACUUUAUUAACGAUACAUUAAGGGUUUUAGCUCAUAUUAUUGGAAGAGAUAAUUAGUACUGAAUUAGCAGCUUUCACAGGUGGUAGGUUCAAUUAGUAGCGUAAUUUGCUAGCAUGUUGAUUAGAUAGUUAUAUCAAGUAUUUCAUUUAAUUAUAUCUAAACGAUAAUGCAGACUAUUUUAAGUGCGAUUUUAAGCUUAAAUAAAGAUAAAACAUUUAAGUGUUGAUUAUAGUUUAGCGAGAUGGAUAGUUUGUGUUCAACACUAAUUAGAACUACAAGCUGAUUUCCCUUCCUUUAGCUACUCAGAUGUUUCAGUGCGUGUCAAAGGGAUUUAGCUGAAAAUGUGCUAUUAGUUGUACAAUUUAUGACUUUGAUUAACAUCAGCUACUGUCUGAUCUUGGCAAAACCUGUUCUACACUUAGUAAUUACAGCGCUUGGAUCAGAAUAGUUCCAUAAUUUAAAAAUACUGUUACACAGCAGCCAAAAUAGCCCAUUGUUUUGAGCUUUACCUGGUUUGUUAUGACAGAGAAUGCUCUAUUUUUGUAGUACUGUGGAGAGUGGAGAACGCAAUGCAUAAAACAAAUAUUUCACUUUUCAGAAUGUCAGUGAUGUCAUAUGGACUAUGUGCUAUUAAUAUGUUAUAAUCAAUUAAUCAUCAUUUUGGAGUAAGUUGCUGAAUAGCAGCUGUUGAAGACCAUUCUUAAUGUUUCUUAAUGGCUGAAUCACAGAAGCCAGGUUUUCAAGCUGCAAAUUCAAAAUUAGAAAAACUCAAAUCAGUAAUUCCGGGAAAUUUCAGAAAAGCUUUAGUACAAUAUAGCAACCCCAACAAAAAUUAAGGCAUCCCCUAAAUGAACCACCAAAGUGAGUCAUAAAGGCCCCCCAGUAUAAAAAUCAAACCACUUUGGCCACCUUUAUUGAUACGAAGUAGUUGAGUAGAGCUAUAAUAUUACACAAACUCGGUUUUGGUGUGUGGGGUCCAAUUGUUGUACUCAGUUAUUAGUAUGAACUAUGUUCAUGUUUUUUUGAUCCAAAAUGAAAAUGAAGUGUCGAAUGUCUAUACAUAUUAGAAGGUCAAGGAUCUCGGAUAUUGGGACUUGGGAGUUAUUUGAAAGUUUAACAUAAAAGCUGAGACUUAUCAAACGUAUGCCAGGGUUAGGGGACAUAUGAUGAACUCAACCGCCUCUCCACCAGUAGUCAGUAGAUGAACUGUGUAUUGACACCUUUUUGUGCAUUGUUUGUACGUCCCUAGAGCUUCCAAUCACAUGUAGGCAAUAUUACUCCGUAGUUUCAAAGAUUACCUCUUCCGUCUUUAUGUGCGUACGUUGUGGGAUUACACAGUCAAUUAGUAUCUGUAAAGGAACUGCAUGAGUGUGAAUGCCAGUGUGAAAUUAUGAAUAAUAAUUCAUUACCAUCAAUUAUUGUUACCAUAGAGAUGACACGAGUAAGAAUUACAAAUUUUUUAUAAUUUUAUUUUAAACAAGGGCAUUAGUAGAAGAUCUCUAUAUUUUAGAUCGGGGCACAGCAUAUUAUGUCAGGUGCAGACUUUAGGUGCAUAUUUUAUAAUAAUUAUUAAAACAUAUUUUAAAAAAUUCAUUAGUUCUAACUGCAAGCAUGUUGAGUUUUGGUAUCAAGCAAGAAAAAAUGCGACAACUUGCACAAUUACAUAAUAGACCUGAUUUAUCAAAUUUUUUACUCCAGAAAUUGACUAGUAAACAAAGGAUUUAGAAUCUUAUACUCUUACGUGCCUCCUGAUAUAGUAGUGAUUGCUACUUCUAGCUGACAGAUAAUUUUCCUUGGCAAGCUUGUUUUC